AGGAAGCCACUUUAAUUUUCUUGCAGAUGGCAGUGGAGCUACAAAAGAAGAAACGCCAGCGUUCACGGUCCACGUCUUGACCUCUGAAGACUUUGCUGGCAGCUGACCUCACAGAGCCCAGGACGGAACUUGUUCAAAGAAACUCUCUGCCCGUUUAAUCAACUCCUCUGCUGCCCUCCCAGGGCCCUGAUGCUACUACUACAAGAACUUAUUUGUUCAAAUGAAUAUUAACAUUGUAAUUUAGUACCUAAUUACGCUUCUCUAGCCGUAACUGGAAAUGUGGUAUUAAAAUCCUUACAUGCUC